GUCACGGUGCCCCCGGCCGGGUCCUCCUCAUCAGCUCCACCUGAUGCCUCCAGCUGCGCCUCCUCAUCCUCAUCAGCCAGCAGACUCUUAAGGAGACCACGGACCUGUAACCGACGCUAGUUCGUUGUACUCCUAUGGACCUCGCUUACCGGAGGAGCAUACCUGAUCACGGGUCACCUCUCGCCGUCUCGCUCGGACGUUCUCCAACCCCAGUCUCGGAUCACGCGGUUGCUGCCAACAAUACCCUCCAACCACUCCUUGGACAAUCUGGAAGGAUACUGGAGCUCAAGUCCAUCCUGACCUUUUCUAAUUAAAAACCUCAUUAUUCUCA